rnacentral:rRNA from 1 species
AGCAGCCGCGGUAAUCCCAGCUCCAAUAGCGUAUAUUAAAGUUGUUGCAGUUAAAAAGCUCGUAGUUGAAUUUCGGGAUUGACACAUCGGUCGUGCCUUAAGGGGUAUGAACUGGUGUAGUCAAUUUCUCACCUUCUGGAGAACCACGAUGCCCUUAAUUGGGUGUCGCGGGGAACCAGGACCUUUACUUUGAAAAAAUUAGAGUGUUUAAAGCAGGCAUUUUGCUUGAAUACAUUAGCAUGGAAUAAUAAAAUAGGACGGCAUGAUUCUAUUUUGUUGGUUUCUAGGAUCACCGUAAUGAUUAAUAGGGAUAGUUGGGGGCAUUAGUAUUCAAUUGUCAGAGGUGAAAUUCUUGGAUUUAUUGAAGACUAACUACUGCGAAAGCAUUUGCCAAGGAUGUUUUCAUUAAUCAAGAACGAAAGUUAGGGGAUCGAAGACGAUCAGAUACCGUCGUAGUCUUAACCAUAAACUAUGCCGACUAGGAAUCAGACGAUGUUAAUUUUUUAAUGACUCGUUUGGCACCUUACG